GCGAAGUGACAGUUUUGAGAAAACGUCAAUUUUGCGUUGCUAAUUCAACGUGCAAAUAUUUAUUUUAGAUUGCGAUUGUAGAAAAAGAAUAUGUAAAUUCUUCAAAGAAUGAAUUUUUCAAAAAGUUCGGAACGCGUCGUCAAAUAACACUUGAGUACACACAUCAACAAAAGGGAAUAAAUAGCUGAGAGACUCAAUCAGUAAAAGGGAAUACAGCUUGUUAUUUAAAAAUAGGACUCCUGCUGUAGCAAUAAAUAAUAUGGCUUCAUAAAAAGCUUGGACAGGACGAAAACCAAAUUUAAAUGGAUUAAGAAAUUUUGGUUGUAAAGCAUACUACCAAAAGAAACUAAACUAAAUGGGAUUCAAAAUCAGAAAAAUUUGUUUUUGUUGGAGAUUGUGCAAAUUUAAAGGCCUACAGAUUAACGAAUGAAAUCAAGAAAUGUUAUGUUUGUAGAACUGUCAACACUUAAGGAAAUAAAUUCAGCUAUAAGUAGAAGUUUUAUGUUACGAAAAUGAAGAAAUUUCUGUCUGUUUUCUUGAUGGAAAUAAUCCUCAAGUAAACUUAAAACAAAUAAUUUCCGAAGAAAAAGUGCCAAAAGAUUCAAGUUAAGAAGAUUUUGAAAUUCAAAAUGUUAUGCAUAAAGAUGACAAUGCAAGACAAGAAAGAAGUUAUCCAGAACGUGAACAUAAAAGACCUGUAAGAUUUGAAGAUUCCAUUUUAUGUGCAGUCGAUUGAACCUUUAGAAGAUAUAAAAUCAGAAUCUAAAGCUUUAUCUAGGAAGGAGUUAAGUAAAAAGUUAAAACCGAAAACAGAUAGAAAACAAAUAGGGAACAAGAAGAAAUUGGGAAUACAAAUUUUCAACAGAAGCUGGAGUGAUGGAGUUGAAGUUAUGUUGUCGUAAUAUGCAGAAUUAUUACUCUUCUAAUUUACAACUAUUACCUACUUACAAAAGAAAUAUACCUAACAAUAUUA